rnacentral:rRNA from 1 species
GCAACGAUGGUUAGCUGGUCUGAGAGGAUGAUCAGCCACACUGGAACUGAGACACGGUCCAGACUCCUACGGGAGGCAGCAGUGAGGAAUAUUGCGCAAUGGGGGCAACCCUGACGCAGCAACGCCGCGUGAGUGAGGAAGGUUUUCGGACCGUAAAGCUCUGUCGAGCGGGAAGAAAUGCAUGCUGGCUAAUAUCCAUCAUGCUUGACGGUACCGCUAGAGGAAGCACCGGCUAACUCCGUGCCAGCAGCCGCGGUAAUACGGGGGGUGCAAGCGUUGUUCGGAAUUAUUGGGCGUAAAGAGCGUGUAGGCGGUUGGACAAGUCAGAUGUGAAAGCCCUGGGCUUAACUCAGGAAGUGCAUUUGAAACUGUUCAGCUGGAGUAAGGGAGAGGAAAGUGGAAUUCCUGGUGUAGAGGUGAAAUUCGUAGAUAUCAGGAGGAACACCGGUGGCGAAGGCGACUUUCUGGCCCUAUACUGACGCUGAGACGCGAGAGCGUGGGUAGCAAACAGGAUUAGAUACCCUGGUAGUCCACGCUGUAAACGAUGUUCACUAGGUGUUGGGAGUAUUGACCCUCUCAGUGCCGCAGCUAACGC